CAGCAGCCGCGGUAAAACAGAGGGUGCGAGCGUUAAUCGGAUUUACUGGGCGUAAAGCGUGCGUAGGCGGCUUUUUAAGUCGGAUGUGAAAUCCCUGAGCUUAACUUAGGAAUUGCAUUCGAUACUGGGAAGCUAGAGUAUGGGAGAGGAUGGUAGAAUUCCAGGUGUAGCGGUGAAAUGCGUAGAGAUCUGGAGGAAUACCGAUGGCGAAGGCAGCCAUCUGGCCUAAUACUGACGCUGAGGUACGAAAGCAUGGUGAGCAAACAGGAUUAGAUACCCCUGUAGUCCCUGUCUCUUAUAC
rnacentral:rRNA from 1 species